UACGUAGGCAGCGAGCGUUGUUCGGAGUUACUGGGCGUAAAGAGUAUGUAGGCGGUUUUGCAAGUUCGGUGUGAAAUCUCCCGGCUUAACUGGGAGGGUGCGCCGAAAACUGCAAGGCUAGAGUGUGGGAGAGGAAAGCGGAAUUCCUGGUGUAGCGGUGAAAUGCGCAGAUAUCAGGAGGAACACCGGUGGCGAAGGCGGGUCUCUGGGCCGUAACUGACGCUGAGGAGCGAAAGCGUGGGGAGCGAACAGG
rnacentral:rRNA from 1 species